UCCCGGUCCACAGACCCGCACGCGAACCCUAGCGCUCCCAUCGCCGCUCCAGAUCCAGAUCCGCCACCCACCUCCCUCUCCCCUCGCCGCCGGUCUGCACCCUCCCCUCCCCUCCCUCUCCACCGCCGACUUCGUCUCCGCCAUCCCCCUCCCCUCUCCUUCAUCCCCCAUAUCCACUGGUCCAGGCGAGGGCAUGGCGUCCCUCCUCCUCCUCCGUGAUUCAUUCCCCUCCUCUGCCACCGCCACCCGACCUCUCUCCCUCUCUCUCCCGCACCACCACCGCCACGGACGGUGGCGCCACCGCCAACCGCUUCCCCAUCCAUGACGUAGCCUCCUUCUCCACGCCAGUAGGGGAGCCACCCUGCUCCGCGUGUGGUCCCGAAGUCCUUACUCGCCACCUUCCGCUGUAGGGCCACCGCGCUUGUCCCAGCCUUCCACCCCGUUCGGCUCCUUCGGCUCCGCCCCUGACCUCGCCAUCUUCUCCACUUCGACCACGACGCGGCAAGCGCAUCCAGGCCGUGCGGGCGAGACGGCGGCCGGAUCCAUGAUGGCGAGGACACGCAGCGGUCCCCGCCGGCCAAAUCAGGUCCAUCUCCUCCCACGGCUGAGUCAUUUUACUGGCGAUUUGCCUCGCACGGCUACGACCUCUGACCCCUUCUCAUUGAUUUGCUCGGGCGGCCACCUCUCCCACCAUUGACGGUGCGUGCUCAACGCCGAGAUCCGCCGCGCCAAGGCCAAGCUCCCCAAGGAGGAUCCACCCAAGCUACACGCCGGCCACGGCCCCCACCACCAGUGAAUCUUCUCUGACCCUCUACGUCCCAACCAGCGAAGGUGACGUCCUCACGCGGAUUCGCGUUCUCCUCCCAAAGCAGCCAUUCCCGCUGCCGCCUCCAAGUCCAGGGUGAUGAAGCUCCUUCUCCUCAACCACGCCCGAAACACCCUGUCCAGGUCCAGGGAAAUCAAGGCCAUGUGGAAGAGAGAAGAGGACCAUGGAGAAGAUGCUUUGCUCCACCUCCAACCCACCCUGCCUACUACUACAGGAAAAGGAUGCCAUGGAAGGUCUUCUUUUUUCUGUUCGGUCCUGCUUGUGCUUGUAUUCAAGCAGCCAUGUGUGUAUAAAAAAGGACAGUUUGAGCUAUUAGUUCAGAUCAUGGAAAAAUAGUUUUUGGAGGUGAUGAUCAAUCUGUCAUUUCUAGAAUAAGCAAGCUUUUAAGCUUUUGGAAGAACUGAAGGGCCAUGAUGCACCGGUUAGCUUCUGUGCCGGUGAAGCUUCGUGCUGACGAUGGCUUCCAAAGGUUGGCAGCAAGGUGUUUGAGAUGGUCUCCUUGUUGGUUCAUGAGGAAGAGGAAGUGAAGUCAUUGAUUUGUCCACCGAGGAAGAGGAAGCGUGAGGAAGCGUGAAGUCUUUGAUCUGUCCAGAGGGAGCUCUAGGCUCAAGAAGUUGGAAAAAGGGAACGCUUCAUCUUUGUAGCUAAUUAUACGUUCCUGGAUGAUGUAAAUGGUUGUUAUAUACCUCAUAGCAGCGCAUUUGUAGUUGUUCUAAAUUCCUGGAUGAUGUGAACUAUGGCAUGAUUGUAAUAUGUAUAAUAUACUCAUUUUCACUACAAAAAAGACACAUCCAUGACA